rnacentral:rRNA from 1 species
UACGUAGGGGGGCAAGGCGUUGUCCGGAUUUAUUGGGCGUAAAGAGCGUGUAGGCGGCCAAGCAGGUCCGCUGUGAAAACUCGAGGCUCAACCUCGAGACGUCGGUGGAAACCGUUUGGCUAGAGUCCGGAAGAGGAGAGUGGAAUUCCCGGUGUAGCGGUGAAAGUGCGCAGAUAUCAGGAAGAACACCCGUGGCGAAAGCGGCUCUCUGGAACGGUACUGACGCUGAGACGCGAAAGCGUGGGGAGCGAACAGGG